GUGUUAGCUUCAGCAGCACACAUACUAAAAUUGGAACGAUACCGAGAUCAGAUGCUCCCUGCACAAGGAUGACAUGCAAAUUCAUGAACCGUUCCAUGUAUUU
ensembl:snRNA U6 U6 spliceosomal RNA